GCUGGUAUAGCUCAGUUGGUAGAGCAGCUCAUUCGUAAUGAGCAGGCCGCGGGUUCGAGUCCCAUUACCAGCUCCA
rnacentral:tRNA from 2 species